UGGCUCAGAACGAACGAUGGCGGCAGGCCUAACACAUGCAAGUCGAACUAGCCCUUCGGGGCUAGUGGCGUACGGGUGAGUAACACGUGUGAACGUACCCUUAGGUUCGGAACAACACAGGGAAACUUGUGCUAAUGCCGAAUGUGCCCUUCGGGGGAAAGAUUUAUCGCCUUUGGAGCGGCCCGCGUCUGAUUAGCUUGUUGGUGAGGUAAAGGCUCACCAAGGCUACGGUGAAUAGCUGGUCUGAGAGGAUGAUCAGCCACACUGGGACUUUUUUCUCGGCCCAGACGAAUACGGGAGGC
rnacentral:rRNA from 1 species